rnacentral:snRNA from 1 species
AUACUUACCUGGCAGGGGAGAUAUCAUGAUCAUGAAGGUGGUUUUCACAUUGCACUCUGGGUGUGCUGACCCCUGUGAGUUUCUCAAAUAUGGGAAACAAUUGCAUAUUUUGUGGUAGUGAGGGACUGUGUUCAUGCUUUCCCCUG